ACAACCAUCUCUGCAGCAAUCCACCAAUCAGGCCUGUAUAGUAGAGUGGCCAGACGGAAUCCAUUCUUUAGUAAAAGGUCCAUAGCAGCCCAUCUGGAGUGUUGCAACUAGACAC